UCCGUUGUGGUUUAAUGGUUUGCAGCCGUCGCUCUCACCAACCAGAUCGGGGUUCAAUUCCCCGUACCGGAG